UCUAAUAUGGCAGAUGAAGUGCGAUGAAUUUAAGAUUCAUAUAUAAAUAACUUUUGUUAGAA
rnacentral:tRNA from 2 species